GACAGAGGCCCCGAGCGUUAGGCGGAAUCACUGGGCUUAAAGCGUGUGUAGGCGGAUCGUUAAGUGUCUUGUGAAAUCCCACGGCUCACCCGUGGAACUGCUUGGUAUACUGGUUGUCUUGAGCCUUCUAGGGGCGAGUGGAACAAAUGGUGGAGCGGUGAAAUGCGUAGAUAUCAUUUGGAACGCCAAUGGUGAAAACAACUCGCUGGGGAAGUGCUGACGCUGAGACACGAAAGCCAGGGGAGCGAACGGG
rnacentral:rRNA from 1 species